rnacentral:rRNA from 1 species
CCUACGGGCGGCAGCAGUGAGGAAUAUUGGUCAAUGGACGAGAGUCUGAACCAGCCAAGUAGCGUGAAGGAGGACUGCCCGAUGGGUGGUAAACUUCGGUGAUAGGGGAAUAAAACGUGCCACGUGUGGGAUUUUGUAUGUACCAUAUGAAUAAGGAGCGGCUAACUCCGUGCCAGCAGCCGAGGUAAUACGGAGGAGCCGAGCGUUAUCCGGAUUUAUGGGGUUUCAAGGGAGCGUAGGGGGAUUGUUAAGUCAGUUGUGAAAGUUUGCGGCUCAACCGUAAAAUUGCAGUUGAAACUGGCAGUCUUGAGUACAGUAGAGGUGGGCGUAAUUCGUGGUGUAGCGGU